AUAUUGAUCUUAAUAAUUAUAUGUAUUAUAUUAAUUAACAUGUAAUUAAUAUAUUAAUUAGUAUUAAUCUGGCAAUGGAAUCUACUUACUACAUAGAAAUCCUUAUAUUUGAUCUACUUCAAAGGGUUUCAUUAACAUGACAAUUGUUUUUAUGUAAGGGGUUAUUCAAAGAUACUUGAGAAUGCAUAAAUAUUAUCAAAAAUAUUCUUCCUACAAUUUUGGUAUGCUUUCAAAAAAUAUUUAAAAAUAUUUUCAUAUGUGUUAAAAGGAUUUGUUAAAAAAAAAAGGUAUUCAUCAGUAUCAUUUCUGACAAUAAUCAUUACAGGUUCCGAAUGUCUGGGAUGCCAGUCUCAUUUUUAGGAGUUUUGUGAAAGGAUAUAUAUGAUGAGAUGCUCAGACUGUCCCCUUACUGAGCACAGGGCAUUUUCCCUCUGAUGAUAGAUCUAAUCUUAGUUUAUCUGCCCUUUGCUGGAUGAGGAUAGAAAACCAGAAUUCUCUGCAGAACAAUCACCUGUAGCCGCCUCUCUGAAUUUCUAAUACAGGCAUCUUAGUUCUCCCUAUUCCUUCUCUGCCCCUGGUGAAGCUUGGAAGUUUUAAACAACUGAUACUAGCUUGCUAAAACCUAAACAGAAUUGCAUGCUUUUACGGGAAUUAGAACCCUAUUAGUGUCUGCAGAAGGUGUGGCCUGCACUGAUGCACCCACUUCAAAGUCUGAGGACUUGUGACCUUAAGCACUGGUAUCUAUUCCUGGUGUUCUUGGUGACUGUCCAUGAGACAGAAGUGAUUCUGCUGCUCACCAAGUAAAAGCCAAAUUAUUUGGGGCUCACCAUCUUCUGGCUGAGGAGGUCGGAAAUAAAGUAGAGGUCCCUCCUUUUAAGGCAAGCAUGGGAUAGUAAGUCGGGAUGAGACUUUAUUUUUUCUGGGGUUCAGCCAGCAUGUCUUGCUAUUUUUAGAGAACUGGCUAGUUCUGAAUGUUGAUUUGAUCACAGGCAGGAGUCCCAUUUAACUUCCCACAGGCAGCCAAGAGCAAUGCCAGCUCCAAGAGCCCACCUUCUCUUCCUGCUGGCAUUCUGCCACCUUCCCCAGAAGAGGUGAGUAUCAGUGGCAUUCCACCAUCACUGUUGUCCUUGCCCUGCUUCUCAUCCAGGAGAAUUGGAGCUGGAACUUCAGGGGAGGGUGGGGUAAGGGGAGGAGAGGGAGCCAACAUUAUACUAAGCCAUUUGUUUAGAGGAUUCAUGCUUACAACAAUCUUGUGAAAGGCAUUUGAUAAAACUGUCGCAAGCAGGCUAAGUAAGUUGGAGACAAAGUGGCUAAGAAACUUGCCAAAAUCAAUCAGCAAGUAAAUGGCAGACUUAUGACUUGAUGUUACUCUCUAACCCAAAGCACGCAUUCAUUCUAAUAUGCUGUAUUUCCAAACCUUGCCUGAUUCUUGGUGUCUCUGAGGCACUUAUUAAAGUCCCCGCUCCCUGGUAGGAAGCAGUCCGCUCCAGAGCCACGGGAUCAGAAUCUUCAAGGUAAUAGCUGGGGAUCCAUUUUUAAAGCAGUCACUCCUAGGUGACUUCUAUGCUCAGCAAAUUUAGGAAAUAACAGCCCUAGGGCAGUUGCUUUCACUCUUGAAGGAACAUUAGAAUCCCAAGUUUCUAUGCAGAUUCUUCUGACUUGAUCUGACAGACACUGAGAUAAGUGAUCUGGGUCAGGGCCCAGGAACCUGCAUUUUUGCACAGCACCGUCCUCCCCACCCCCACCAUUUUAUUCUGUUACAAGUGGCCAGAAGACUUUGAAAAACAUUGAUCCAAAAAUAAACAAGAAAGAGGGAUAUGGAUUCUAUAGUAAUAAAAUCAUUAAUCCUGGAAAGGACUCACUUCACAACAGUCCAAAGAAAAUUACUUAGUUUGGAUUAAAGGAUGAAUUUCUGCAAACAUGGUGAUAAAUGGUUAGAUCCAGAAACAGGGUGAUCCCUCUGUACAGUGUGAGUAGUCAACAUCUUAGUGACAGGAAUGCUAGAGCUGACCACUAAUAUCUAACCUUCCCAAUAUUCCCUAGGCUCAGUUUCCAUCAGGAAUAUUCCUUUUCCUUUGCCCAUCUUCACUAGUUAAAAUUCCUUUCUUUAAGGCUUAGUUCAAAAACCACUUUCUUCCCAAAGUUUUCUCUCAAUUCUCUUCCUCUUCUUAGUUCCUAUGUCUGUAAUUAGACAUACAUCACAUCAUAUCUAGCAGUGUAAUUCCUCGCGUACCUGUAAUACAUCUACAUCUCUUCUCCUAGAGGGCCAGCACUCUGCUUCCUGUUUGAUUUCUCCACCAUCUGCCAAAGGCCUUUUGCACAGUAAGGGUCAGGCGGAUAAAGCCGCCACCACUAACACCACCCUUACAGAGCACUUUACAGUGUGCAGGUCCCGUUUUAAGCAUUGUAACAAGUAUAUUAGACAUAUUUCUAUUGUACAGGUGGAGGGAACAAGGAACUGAGAGGUAUUUUUUUGUGGACGGGUCUCUUUUACAAACUCUAGCUCUGUAGAUGAUCAGCAUGUACGGAGAUCUGAAUACUGUGGAUUCUGGGAAGAGGUCCUGAAAAACUCUUAACCUUUUAAUUAAUUUAGUAUAUCAGAAUCACGGGAAUGGAUGGCUGCAACCCCCAGAGUUUCUGAUUGAGGAAGCCAGGGUAGGAACUGAGAAUGUUCAUUUCUAGCAUGUUCCCAGGUGAUGCUGAUGCUGCUGGUCUGGGGCCCACACUCUGAGAACCACUGCUUUAGGUCAGUGUUUCUGAUGCUCUGCAAUUUGAGGGCAAAAAAAUUGGCCCUUAUAUUCUGAGCUUCCUAAAAGCAAAGAGAUGAGGGAGAGGAAUAGAAACCACACAGAAGUUAGGAAGGUGUGAGCCCUUUCCAAGGGCAUGGCUGUAGGUGCAUUCACUGAUGAGGGUGCGGACAGGCAGUCAGCACUCCAAAGAGAGGGAAACGCUGCUGGAAAUCACUUAGUGCUUUUGGCUUGAGCAGUUGCUUGCCACCAGGAAUGAUUUCAUUGGUUUCCAAAAUUUACCAAUAAGCCUUCUGUGAGUUUUGGUGAAGAAUGGGUGUAAAAUGAGAUGAGUGUUUUUCUUGAGAAGAUAGCCCAGCAGAGAGUUCUCUAACUCACUUGACUUUAUAUCACAUUUGUAGAGGGAUCAUAAAGAUAAUAUAAUACAAUGUAUAAUACAGAAUAAUGAUGAGGGUUUUUAUUACAGCUCCUGAAGCUGUUACUUUUUAAAAAAAUUUUUACCUGCACUUAUUAAAUUGAGUGAGGAUUAAGAAUUGCUCAAGGUCCAGGGACCAAGUCAGUAGCAUGGGGUUCUUGUCCUAGUUUUCCAAAUAAAUGCAUUGCUCAGGGACUUAAUUUCUUAGUGGAAUAGUUAAAUUCUCUUAGUGGGGACAUCUAUGCGGUCAUCCAAAAACCCAUCCUCGUGCAGCAAUUGAAUAUUUGAGAUAAACUACAUAUUAAAAAUAAACUCCUUUGAGUUGCUUGAGAGCAAAGUUCAACAGAAACUCAAAAUACUUUGCCAAGGCAUUCAAAGGGCAAGCCACACGUUCAAGGUCACAUGCCGUCAGGUUCUCAUCCAUCUCUCCUGACACUGGUAGCUCUUCUUCAGGUGACUGACCAGCCCCUUCAGGGAUUACUUUGAAAUCUCUCCCUUCAGUGUCCCUCUGUCUUCCAGGCCCACCCUCCUCCCCCUCUGCCUUUGCGUCAAGCCCCAGCACCCAGAAGCAAGUCCACUGUCAGUACUGGCCAACAAGUCAUUCCAUGCACUGAGCCUGGCGGUUGGGGGCUUUUCUCUUAUUCAUUUCCCCACGCCUGGCUCUGCCUGUCGGAUCUGGACUCCAGCUGUCCUCCCCCGCCUGUCUGAGAUGCAGAACUUGGAGCUUCACCUGCUUCUACAGACGCUGCCUUGCUGGCUUCAGAUGACAGAAGCACAUCGCCCGCAGGGCUUCCCAAAAAUUCACAAAGAAAGAAAGACAGAUGGGCAAGGCAGGAACGGCCAGAGGACGAUUAGAGGAGAAAGCAGCGCGCAGGGAAAGCUCAGCACAUACCUGGGGAAAAGUUGCAGGCGGGUCCCUCCUCCUCGCUGGGCUUUCUUCCUCAGCAGGCUUCGGCCCCCACUGAGGUGUUUAGGAUGUGGGUAGUUAUUUACUUAUUUAUUUAUUUUCCAGAGCUGGCAGUGUUGGCUCGCAUUUCUAUGCCUUCCUGUCAGAAUUCUCUCAAGGAAACGGCAGCUGGUGAGCUCAGAAAUGUCAGUCAGAAUCUUGGCCUAGUUUGGGGCCUUGAAGAUUCUUACAGAAAGUUAAAAAGGUUUCUGGGCCAGUGUCUCCUUUGGGUUUUCCCUCUUUUGCUUCUCACCUUUUCCAUCUUCUAUUUUUUCUUUUUUUUUUUCAUUUUACCCCAGUAGCUAGCUACUUAAAUUGCCUGCUUCUGUCUUUCUGAUGGUCCCCUCUUGGGUACGGCUGUGGCUCUUCUUUUGGCUCAGUCUAACAGCCUGGUGAUUUUCUAAGCAUUCAGAUCAGUACUUAGACCCUUAUUGCUUAUUUCGUCUUCUUACUUAUUCCCUUUUCCCCUUUCCUCCCUCUCCUUUCACUGUUAUCUUUGUGAUUGUGACCCUUCUAAUCACACACAAAGAAAUCAUCUUCAUCUGUCCUUUAUGUGCAUUUCGUAUCCUCACCGAAUAGGCUGUCAUUCCCCUAUUUGUGCCCUGUCCACCCAUUUCUCCUUCAUUCUUUAGUUCCGUCACUUGUUCUCGCUUUACCUUGGACUUGGGUCCUGUCCAGAUGUGACCUAGCUACAGAUCUGAUCUCUCCUCUCCUCUCCUCUCCCCUCCUCUCCUCUCCUCUCCUCUCCUCUCCUCUCCUCUCCUCUCCUCUCCUCUCCUCUCCUCUCCUCUCCUCUCUGUUCCUCGGGCAGUUUCAUUCCCUGCCUCCUCUUGUCUCUGCUCUCUGAAGGGGAGCCUCCUCCUUUUGUACUCCCCAGCCCUCUGCCCACCCCCAGCACACUCUCCCACCUGUUUGUGUCUUUUAAGGGACUUGGUCCUGUCCAUGCCUUCUGUCCACCUCAAUCACCCCAGUGACGGGCCUCUGAAAGCUGUUAAAUUACACCUCUUCAGCUGUCCCAUUGCAAGGAGAAAUGAUCUCUGCUAAAUCCUUUUUCAGAUAGGCAAAUCUAUAUUAAUGCCUCUGUUGAUGGAAUAUACUGAAAUGAUGCAUGUGUUAUUUUAAAGAGUAAGAACAUUAAUUUUUUUCAAAUGAAUGAAUCUCUAUCUCUUGAUACUGGGUUCCUUUUAGGUUGUAUCAGUAUAUAUGACCUCAGAUACAGCUCUUUAAACUUGUUAAGUUAUUUGGGCCAUUUCUCAAGUGGGAAGUAGUUAUAGUGGAGUUAUGGUAAACGUGGGUGGUGUGGGACUUGACUGCAUGCUCGAUAACGUGUUUAGUGACUGCCUGUCAAGUCACAGUGUACCAUAUUAAGCACUAGAAAUAAGUUGUUGAUGUUCCCUGCUCUUGAGAGACUUACAGGCUCUUUUGGGGAUAGGACUUGAAUCUGGAGGAAAUAUAUGCACAGAUAUAUACACAUAUAUAAAAUAUAAUAAUUACAGACUGAUAGAAUGGAAAAUAAGCACUAUUGGCAUUCGGAAGCAGAGAUUAACAAGUGGUGGGCCAGGUAGUAAAAGCUUCGUGGAGGAGAUGGGUUUCAGCUAGGUCGUGAAUGAUAGGGAGAGCUUAUAUACAUGGAGAGGGAGGGAAGGGCUUUCUCAGAUGUGGGAACAGCUUGAGCAAAGACAUAGAGGCAGGGAUGUGCAGAGUGUGUUCAGGAAAUACUGAUGAACCUGUGGCUGGAUCCAAUGCUUUGUGAAGGGGUCAGCCUGGGGAAGGCCUCGGGCACAAACAGCCAUUCUGGGAAAGUAUACUCAUGGUAGGAGAUGGCAGUGUUUUAAAGAGUUCCUUUAGACCACACAGUUACAGAUAGCUAUACUUAAAAAGAGUAGUGCUAUUCUGUUCUGAUAUGGUUUAUAUAAAUGCUACGAAUUUGGAUGGUUUGAUAAUUAUUAUGUGAAUAAUCAUGGUCUGAAAUUUGUUGCUAUUGAAUAUUCAGAGAGAAAUAGACAUUUCUCUCCAAUCCUUAGAAUAUUAAGUCUUUUUAUUAAUAUUUUUUUCUGGCAUUUGUUACUGAAGGUCUGCUGUUAUAAAUGUAGAAAACUGCUAGCCCCACUCAUUCACAGUCUAUCACUGGUUCUGUCUCCCUCACACAGUUGGCCCUAAAGUCUACUCAACAUCACUUUUUCCACUUACUGAAAACUUGAUUCCACCUUGGCUGGAUUAUGCAUUUGUUAUGGGUCUAGACACACUUUAACAUGUCUUUAUCCUGUUUAAUUUUUUUUUUUUUUUUUUACAAUUUCUUUUUAUGGAAGUCGAGAAUUCACAACACUGUAAACUUCUGGAGGUCAAGUGUAUACUUAUUUCGAUUUCUUCUCUUGUUUGCAGCACAAUAUAAGGACACAGUGGCCUCCCAAUGAAUGGUUGCUAAAAUCAAAUUGGAUCAAAAGGUUCACUAAAACACUAAAACUCUACAAGAGAAUACAAAAUACAAACCCAACGGCCACAUUACUAAACAUCUUCUGAAUAUUGUGUCAAGCCUUUAGUUCUUCUGAGAUUUUUCUAGGGUCAAAAGAGGGAACUGAUGUUAAUUUAAUAAUUUAUCUAUAUAUAGGAUUGUACUUUAGGUUUUCAAAUCACAAAUCAUGCACUAUUUUGGGUGGGUAAGCCAAAGGUAUUGAUACUCAAAUUUGGAAGAUGAAGAAUGAGGGAACUCGCUGAGGGCCACAUGGAAAAAGAUGAGAUCAUCUACUGAAAAAUAUGGGAUCAAAUUCAAGACUUAGGAUUUCUAAUUAAAUGUUUUUUUCACCACAGCACCUUUUAGGUCAGAAAUUUUGACUUCCUGGUAAAGAACUACUUUUGUUUUCUCUAAAUUCUUAUGUAAAUCGGGUUGGUUUUAAAAUGAUGCAACUUGAUGAGUGAAGUAUUAGACGUGAAUGUGAGGAGUGGGUCUUCCUGAGAUCUUUCCCCAGUGAGAUGAUCUUCCCUGUGGAAAUCUCCAGAAGCCAGGGAAAAGGUUAAAUUAGAGCUGGUCCUAAGCAAGAAGUAUUCUUCAGGAAAAUCUUACUUAGUUACUUACUUGGUGUGUUAGGGAUCCAAGGCCCAGUUUAGCAGUGAGUCUUGCCCCCCGUCACAGAACCAGCAUCUCUUGACUCGUUGGUAAGUGUGCUUUGUAUCACACACAGGCAUCAUGAUUGCCUCCUGUUUGGUCAUGAGCCUCCUGAAGAGCCUUCUCUUCCCCAAGGCCACCACUGGGACAGGGUGAAAAUAGUGAAGGGAAUACUCAGGUUGCCUUAUUUAUGGCUGAAGGCCAUCUCUUAGAGCCCUACAAUAGUGAGCAGAAACUAGAUGAAAAAAUUCCAUAACUGUGGUGGCGUGGGGGAAUGCAGAAAACAGACUGCUCCAUGUUAAAAAUCGUUUUAAUGCUUUAUAGUGGGUUCAGCCACUGACUUUCAUAAGGGUGAUAGUAAUAAUAGUGAAAUCAUGGGAUGGUAAUAAUAAAUCCUUUCAGAUGCUGCCAGAACUACAUAUCACAGGCUUUAGAUGCCGGUGGGCAGCUGCUUGGCUAAAUGUGGCCCCCAGUUGUCAAGGAGAGACCCACCCCAAAACAGGAGAAACAAGUCAACAAGUAUUUGCAGGGCACACACAGGGCAGAGCCCCUUGGAGGUGAAGGCUUCAAUUUAGACACCAUCCCUGCUUUUAAGGAAUUAGCAAUUUGAAAAUGUGCUCAAAAUGUCGAGUUUGACAUAGAGGCAUGUAUGGCUCCACAAACUGGCUUGUGUAGACCAGAGAUAAACUAAAGUAUCAUGUGCCCUAGCUGGUUAUCAUGCCUCUAACCAAUGGUUGACAGUUGUCAGUGUUGUGGAGUUGGAUAUCCUUGAAGAUAGUGUCAGCAAUAAACUUCUGUUAACUUUUUUGUUUCCAAGAUGGUUUAAUUUCCUUGAACUAGAAGGCAGGAUUUUGCUACUGUGUAAUUGCCAGAAGUCAUUGACUCUCACCUUAAUGUCCUCUUCUAAAAUCCAGAGAUAAUAAUAACCCAGCCACCUCUCCUGCUAGCUUGUUUGGAGGAUUUAAAUGAAGUAACUUCUUUGGUUUGUGUGUUGGUUGUUUUAGUUGUCCUUUGAGUGGGUAAGGAGUAGUGUGAUGAAGGCACAGAGAUUAGUUUGGGUUUCAUGAAGGUGGAUUCAGCAGUAGAUGGAGUAUGAGACAUUUGCCCACAAUUAUACAUUUUAAGGGUACAUCUAGUUUGGGCUUCUCAUUGGGUAGUAAGGAAAUGGGGUCUUGAGAAUUAAAGUGAUUUUUCUCCCCAUUGUCAGUCUUGGGAUAAGCUAUGAUGUUACAGAGUCUGCCAGGUUUUUCUCACCAAGUGAGAACAAAUGAGAUAAUGAUUGUGAAAGUUAUCCAUCAGCAGUAGAAUUCUAUACAAAUGUGAAGUGUUAUUUUAUUGAAAUAUGUCCCCCAAAGCUCGUUAUUGCAGAAAACUGAUAAUCACCCUGGGUGAUGGCAGAGCUUUGGGGCCUUGGACACCAGCUGUUCCCCAGGAGGUUUUCCCAGCUGCUGCUAAGGGCAACCCUGCGGUGGAGGAGUCCAGAAGUGGAUAUUCCGAGAGCACAGACUUCAUAUAGGAUUGGGCCAAAGCAGAUGUGAGCACUGAGAGCAUUUGCUCUCACAUAAAUAAGAAGGUGGGAAUGGAAGGAAUUUUGUUAUGGCAAUUUACGAAAUUCUUUUAACUACAUCUGAGUUUUCUGCCAGAAACCAUGUAGUAUUCUAUUAUCAAGAUUAUUAUUAAUGGUCCAUCACUGACAACUUGAUGAGGUUCUCCUUCAGUUUUGUUCAAGGUUAAGAAUGGAAAUGUUGCAACUUCUAGAAAAAUUUGUUACCCAAUCAUGAGAGUAUUUUCUUGGGAGAAGCAUUCUGCCAUGGGCCCUGAGUGUUCCUGCACAUUCUUGUUGAGUAUGCCAAGAAUGCAAAGCUCUUAUUGCUUUUUACAGGGACAUUUCUCAGAGUAACGAGCAACAUUGAGAUGAGUUUACAUCUCUCACCAGAUCAAAAACAAACAAACAAACAAACAAACACACACACACACCAGAGUUGCUUCCGCUUGCUAUGAAAGCGGUGAAUCUCCCAAGCUCAGUAGGAUACAAACCCACAGUGUACACAGUAUCCAUUCAGACAUGGGGAACAUGGGAAACUGACAUGAGCCAACAUCAUGCUCAUGCUUCUUGCUGUGUUGAGAAUAACAAAGGUUGUAGUCUCUGAGCCAGGAGUUCCAUGUCUUGUCCAUGAAAUUGUAGCAGACUAACUUAUUAGCUUGCAAGUAGAAAAAAAUCCCAGACCCUUCACAGACCCUGACUUAUUUAUGUUUUUAAUUUCUGGGAAGAAUGCCAAGACGACAUUACCACAACUCGCUGAAUGAUGGCUAAUUGUACCAGUUACUCUUUCACAUGGAGAUGCCCUGCUUACUAUAAUAAAUUCAAAGUGUUGGCAAAGUUUAAA